rnacentral:rRNA from 1 species
UACAGAGGUCUCAAGCGUUGUUCGGAUUCAUUGGGCGUAAAGGGUGCGUAGGCGGGUCUUUAAGUCAGGGGGGAAAUCCUGGAGCUCAACUCCAGAACUGCCUUUGAUACUGAAGAUCUUGAGUUCGGGAGAGGUGAGUGGAACUGCGAGUGUAGAGGUGAAAUUCGUAGAUAUUCGCAAGAACACCAGUGGCGAAGGCGACUUUCUGGUCUGUAACUGACGCUGAGGCGCGAAAGCGUGGGGAGCAAACAGG